AUUUAUCUGUGUGUUUGUUUUCUUUGAUCCUGUCACUGCCGCGGACUCGAUACACUGUCUAAGAUUUGGCGCCAUGCUGGACACUUACCAUUAUGUCUUCAUAAUUCAAACAAUGCUUGGCUGGAAGUUUUCAUUCUUUCAUUUUCUAUUACUGCUGCUAGCGCAUUUGCUGCUGAUGAU